GGCGACGUGGCCGAGUGGUUAGGCACGGGUCUGCAAAACCCUGUACGGGAGUUCGAAUCUCCCCGUCGCCU
rnacentral:tRNA from 1 species